UAGGGAAUAUUGGACAAUGGGUGAAAGCCUGAUCCAGCCAUGCCGCGUGUGUGAAGAAGGUCUUCGGAUUGUAAAGCACUUUAAGUUGGGAGGAAGGGCAGUAAGCGAAUACCUUGCUGUUUUGACGUUACCGACAGAAUAAGCACCGGCUAACUCUGUGCCAGCAGCCGCGGUAAUACAGAGGGUGCAAGCGUUAAUCGGAAUUACUGGGCGUAAAGCGCGCGUAGGUGGUUCGUUAAGUUGAAUGUGAAAGCCCCGGGCUCAACCUGGGAACUGCAUCCAAAACUGGCGAGCUAGAGUAGGGCAGAGGGUGGUGGAAUUUCCUGUGUAGCGGUGAAAUGCGUAGAUAUAGGAAGGAACACCAGUGGCGAAGGCGACCACCUGGGCUCAUACUGACACUGAGGUGCGAAAGCGUGGGGAGCAAACAGG
rnacentral:rRNA from 1 species